CAGGGAAAGAAGACCCUCUUGAGCUAGUCUGUCAUGGUAGCAUGGUGAAGAGACAUGAGAGGUGUAGAAUAUGUGGGUGGCCCCCGCUGUCCCCCGUCCAGGCAAGGGCUGCUGAUGAAAUACCACCACUCUUACCAUUUGUCACUGACCCAGUGAGGGCAGGUGGGGGCAGUGAUAACCCCGAGGGGCUCUCGCUUCUGGUGCCAAGUGCCUAACCGGGCAUGACCUGCUCCAAGGACAGUGCCAGGUGGGAAGUUUGACUGGGGGGAGGUACACCUGUCAAAUAAGGUGAGCUCAGCAGGGGGACAGACACUUCCUACGGAGCAGAAGGGCAAAAGCUCGCUUGAUCUUGAUUUUCAGUAGAAUACAGACUGUGAAAGCAGGGCCUACAGGAUCCUUCUGAUUUUCUGGGUUUUAAGCAAGAGGUGUCAGAAAAGUUACCACAAGUAUAACUGGCUUGUGAUGGCUAAGCGUUCAUAGUGACGUUGCUUUCUGAUCCUUCCGUGUCAGCUCUUCCUGUCAUUGUGAAGUAGAAUUCACCAAGCGUUACAUUGUUCACCUACUAAUGGGGAAUGCGAGCUGGGAUUCGAACGUUGUGAGAUAGGUUAGCUUUAGUUUA
rnacentral:ncRNA from 1 species